CUACGUGCCAGCAGCCGCGGUAAUACGUAGGGUGCGAGCGUUAAUCGGAAUUACUGGGCGUAAAGCGAGCGCAGACGGUUACUUAAGCAGGAUGUGAAAUCCCCGGGCUCAACCUGGGAACUGCGUUCUGAACUGGGUGACUAGAGUGUGUCAGAGGGAAGUAGAAUUCCACGUGUAGCAGUGAAAUGCGUAGAGAUGUGGAGGAAUACCGAUGGCGAAGGCAGCCUCCUGGGAUAACACUGACGUUCAUGCUCGAAAGCGUGGGUAGCAAACAGGAUUAGAUACCCUGGUAGUCCACGCCCUAAACGAUGUCAAUUAGCUGUUGGGCAACUUGAUUGCUUAGUAGCGUAGCUAACGCGUGAAAUUGACCGCCUGGGGAGUACGGUCGCAAGAUUAAAACUCAAAGGAAUUGACGGGGACCCGCACAAGCGGUGGAUGAUGUGGAUUAAUUCGAUGCAACGCGAAGAACCUUACCUGGUCUUGACAU
rnacentral:rRNA from 1 species